CUGGAGAGACAGUCGCAGGAGCUGCCGCCGUCAUACAGCAUUAUGAGUAGGAUAUUCCCAAACAGCUGGAAGGAGCUGAUAUAUGGUGCUGCGCCCUCGUGCUGGGCCCUCCCCAAGAUGGACCGGUAACCUGGUUAUUUUCAGCGUGUCACUGGCUCGUCUCCAAUUCCACUGGACAGGGCCCCACAACCGAUUUGAGAAAUAACUUAAUAUCGAUUAAGAUGGGUAGUCUCGGAGCCUUAGUGAGUAAAGUGCACUCAUUCCUGUGGUGUUGUCUCGGCGGUCGGCACGAGGCGUCCACAAACACUCUUUAGCCAAACUGAGCACGUCCUCCGCGGCUGCGCGUGUCUCGUCUGCCGCGCUCUCAAGGUGUUCCCCUCUUUUAUCGAUACUGCUCAGGGAAGCUAUGAACAGCCCAGGUUUAUCACACACCUCUUUCCUUGUGCAACAUGCUGGUGUGCUGCGGCCUCUGGUGGCAGUGAUGCGCCAUGACGUUUCAUGGUAGGGACUGUUUAACACUUUGUGGGGUCAGACGCACGCUCCACCAGUCUCGAGCUUUAGAGACUCGUGCCUGUCAGCUGCCUCAGUUUUGACAUAAAAACUUCAUAACAAUAGCACGUACCACAAUAAAAUACUAACAACAUGAAAAGAAGCCGUUUAAAAUCACAGUCAUCAAUAACCUUUGUGAAAAGUCAAUUGUGUUCCAUUGUUUUUGGAAUGUUAGUGCUGCGUUAACUGUGUUACUUUAAGAUUCUUUUAUGCUGAAGGGUUUGUCCGGAACGCUGUGUUCGCCCAGACUCCAGGACGCACACUCCAACAAUGAUCGAUUCGGUGUCUGUCAUGAACAUGCCAGCCUUUGUCCACUUAGAUCUAACCUCACUUAAUUCGAGGCCUGCCCGAUGUUGGUCAUUAUUCACGCGCGUCCAGUAGAAACUCAUGCGCAAAGCAGUGGGUGCAGCCAGCUCUCCAAAUGGUCUCUCCGACCAUAAAAGCAGUGGUGGAUGCCGUGUGGGCAGUGUGGAGCAUCGGCGCCUCCAUCUAUGACUACAUCAACACCAGCGCCAUGGAGGAGCGCAUCCACGCGCUGGAGCACCUCAUCACCGUCCACCAGUGCGUGAUCGGCCUGCUGUCUGCGGGGGUCUUUGUGCUCUUCACAUACGUCGUUUUAAAGAAGAUUUGAGAGACCAUAAACAGACAUUCUUGUGAAUUUAUGCAGUAAUAUAAAUGAAAAAAUAGGACUCACACGAGCUUUUUUUUUUUUUACAAUACUGUACUUUGAUACAAAAUAAUGACAGGAAAGAUUCUCUAACUUAUUUGUGUAUUUAAGAUGACAAAAGAAAUUACUUUAUUAAUAAUGGAAAUAACUUGACUCAUAAUGACUUAAGAUUUAAACAUAGUGGCUUUCAGGAUCCCCAGAGUAUUUUACAUUGCAUUACUCAUUCACUCCACACACUGUGAUGACACCAGCAAUCUCUCACAAGCCCGGCAUGGUGGGUGCCAUAACCAACAGUUUUAUGAUGAAAAGGAACAUAUGGUGAUACAAAGAUUUGAAUUUUUAUCAGUAGCAGAAGAGAUACUUUUUACAUAAACAUUACAUCAAACCAGCAGUGGGCAAUUAUUUUUUUCCCCAGAGGGAAUUUGAAUCCAGUCCUGUGGCAGAGGGCUGAACCAAUGCAAUCCUUGGUGUAACAAAUGCUUACUGCUUGAUGCUGAUUACAUUUUAGGGCAUGCUAAAGGUAGGGGGUAUGUAGGAUGAUGUCUUAUUGCUUUAAAAAGGAACUAAGCAACACAACUGAACCUCGGCUUCAGUGUCUUACCCUUAACUGGUUUGGCUUAUUCUCAUGAAGAGGACAGGGUGUUAUGAGACAAUUUAAAUUCAUUUUCAACACCUUUUACUUGUAGGAUCUGGCAACCUAAUGACUUUCUAAUUGGACCCAACAUGUACAUCAUGUACAAUGUUUCUGCACUUCUGUAUAAAUCAACAUUACAGUUACCAGUAAAUUCAUAAUUUUAUUUGAACCUAAUUUCUUCUUAUGAGGACAGAGAUAAAAUCCUACAUACCUUUCCUUUAAGCAAACUGCAAUUAGUUGUAUUUGUGAUGUAAUAAAAGUUAAUUGAUAUUUUAGUCUAUGAAGUAAAUUAAGAUUAAAAAAUUUGUAAAAGUUAAAUAAUAUUAAUUCUGUUUUAGGACCAUCUAUGUGAAGAACUGAACAUUCCAAUCAGUACCUCAGAGCACACGUAAACAAAGUGUCCUUACCAUUUAUAAAUGUAUUUGCUGCCUAGUUUUUGCCAAUGACAAUUUAAAUAAAUAAAAUAAAUGUUUGU